AGAGUUUGAUCAUGGCUCAGAAUCAACGCUGGCGGCGUGCCUAACACAUGCAAGUCGCACGAGAAAGGGGAGCAAUCCCUGAGUAAAGUGGCGCACGGGUGAGUAACACGUGAAUCAUCUACCUCCGAGUGGGGAAUAACCUAGAGAAAUCUGGGCUAAUACCGCAUAACACUUACGAGUCAAAGCAGCAAUGCGCUUGGAGAGGAGUUCGCGGCCGAUUAGCUAGUUGGCGGGGUAAUGGCCCACCAAGGCGAUGAUCGGUAUCCGGCCUGAGAGGGCGCACGGACACACUGGAACUGAAACACGGUCCAGACUCCUACGGGAGGCAGCAGUGGGGAAUUUUGCGCAAUGGGGGAAACCCUGACGCAGCAACGCCGCGUGGAGGAUGAAAUAUCUUGGUAUGUAAACUCCUUUCGAUGGGGAAGAUUAUGACGGUACCCAUAGAAGAAGCCCCGGCUAACUUCGUGCCAGCAGCCGCGGUAAUACGAGGGGGGCAAGCGUUGUUCGGAUUUAUUGGGCGUAAAGGGUGCGUAGGCGGUUUGGCAAGUCUUAUGUGAAAUCUUCGGGCUCAACCCGAAGCCUGCAUAAGAAACUGCCGGGCUUGAGUAUGGGAGAGGUGAGUGGAAUUUCCGGUGUAGCGGUGAAAUGCGUAGAUAUCGGAAGGAACACCUGUGGCGAAAGCGGCUCACUGGACCAUAACUGACGCUGAUGCACGAAAGCUAGGGGAGCAAACAGGAUUAGAUACCCCGGUAGUCC
rnacentral:rRNA from 1 species